CUCGUAGGCGGUUUGUCGCGUCGUCCGUGAAAACUUGGGGCUCAACCCCAAGCUUGCGGGCGAUACGGGCAGACUUGAGUACUGCAGGGGAGACUGGAAUUCCUGGUGUAGCGGUGAAAUGCGCAGAUAUCAGGAGGAACACCGGUGGCGAAGGCGGGUCUCUGGGCAGUAACUGACGCUGAGGAGCGAAAGCGUGGGUAGCGAACA
rnacentral:rRNA from 1 species